UCCCGCUUAACUCAGUGGUAGAGUGCGUCACUAGUAGUUCUUAAGACUUCCGACUCCAAUGAGUUGCCAUGACGAAGUCAGUCGUUCAAAUCGGCUAGUGGGAA